GCAAGUCGAACGAUGAAAGCCUCUUCGGAAGUGUAUGAAGUGGCGUAAGGGCGAGGAAUAUAUUUCUAUGUACCCCAAAGUCAAGGAUAGCCCAGGGAAACUUGGUGUAAUACUUGAUGUGGUCUCCGGAUCAAAGAUUUAUCGCUUUGGGAGCAGGGAAUAUCCUAUCAGGUAGUUGGUGAGGUAACGGCUCACCAAGCCAAAGACGGGUAGCGGGUGUGAGAGCAUGACCCGCCGCAUCGGGACUGAGACACUGCCCGGACUCCUACGGGAGGCUGCAGUAACGAAUAUUCCGCAAUGAGCGAAAGCUUGACGGAGCAAUGCCGCGUGUAGGAUGAAUCUCCUUGGAGUGUAAACUACUGUCAGAGACUAGGAACUCAAUGACCAAUCUCAAAGGGAGGGCCGGCUAACUUCGUGCCAGCAGCCGCGGUAAUACGAAGGGCCCGAGCGUUAUUCGGAAUCACUGGGCUUAAAGCGUGCGUAGGCGGACUUGUAGGCGUUUUGUGAAAUCCCUCGGCUCAACCGAGGAACUGCAGAGCGAACCCCAAGCCUUGAGACAGAUAGAGGUUGUCGGAACGAUUGGUGGAGUGGUGAAAUGCGUUGAUAUCAAUCGGAACGCCAAAUGAGAAGUCAGGCAACUGGAUCUGUUCUGACGCUGAGGCACGAAAGCGUGGGUAGCGAACGGGAUUAGAUACCCCGGUAGUCCACGCCGUAAACAAUGUGCACUAGGUCGAGGGCGUUCUGACGCGACUCUCGGCCGAAGCGAAAGUGUUAAGUGCACCGCCUGGGGAGUACGGUCGCAAGGCUAAAACUCAAAGGAAUUGACGGGGGCUCACACAAGCGGUGGAGCAUGUGGCUUAAUUCGAAGCAACGCGAAGAACCUUAUCCUAGGUUUGACAUACACGGAUUAGCUAUAAGAAACUAUAGUGACACCUUCGGGUGGAACGUGACAGUGCUGCAUGGCUGUCGUCAGCUCGUGCUGUGAAGUGUCGGGUUAAGUCCCUUAACGAGCGCAACCCUUAUCGUUAGUUGCUAACAAGUAAUGCUGAAGACUCCUAGCGAGAACUGCCGGUGUUAAACCG
rnacentral:rRNA from 1 species